rnacentral:rRNA from 1 species
AUGCAGCCAAAGAUCAACACUGCUUUGAAUGUUGAGUCAAAAGAUGUACUUGGCCAAGCUUGGGCAAAGUUUUUUCAUGCUAAUGACAUUGCUGGUCUGAAAGCAAAUUGUCCCUAUUUUCGUGCGGCUGUCAAGAUAACUCAAAACCUUGGCCCAGCUCCUGUUCCAACUGCCAAGGAGAUUGAUGGGAUAUAUUUGGACAAGAAUUAUGAAGAAGCUGAGCAGUGGUUGAACAUGUUCAAGCAAGACUGGAGGAACUAUGGUGUAACUGUGGUGUGUGACUCAUGGACAGGGCCUACUGGUAUGAGUCUCAUCAAUUUCAUGGUGUAUUGCAAUGCACGGAUGUUCUUUCAUAAAUCCAUUGAUGCUUCUGGUCAAUCUCAGACUGCAGGUUAG